GUGAGUGUGUGUGUGUGUCUGUGUGUGUGUGUUUCUGUGAGUGUGUGUCUGUGAGUAUGUAUGUGUGUGUGUCAGUGUGUCUGUGAGUGUGUGUCUGUGAGUAUGUGUGUGUGUCUGUGAGUAUGUGUGUGUGUCUGUGUCUGUGUGUGUGUCUGUGUGUGUGUUUCUGUGAGUGUGUGUGUGUUUCUGUGAGUGUGUGUGUGUUUCUGUGAGUGUGUGUGUUUCUGUGAGUGUGUGUCUGUGAGUAUGUAUGUGUGUGUGUCAGUGUGUGUCUGUGAGUAUGUAUGUG